CACGUAGGGUGCGAGCGUUGUCCGGAAUUAUUGGGCGUAAAGAGCUCGUAGGCGGUGUGUCGCGUCGGCCGUGAAAACCUGCAGCUUAACUGUGGGCUUGCGGUCGAUACGGGCAUCACUGGAGUUCGGCAGGGGAGACUGGAAUUCCUGGUGUAGCAGUGAAAUGCGUAGAUAUCGUAAGGAAGACCAGUGGCGAAGGCGAGUCUCUGGACAGCAACUGACGCUGAGGCACGAAGGCCAGGGGAGCAAACGGG
rnacentral:rRNA from 1 species